AAUAAUAUUAGUAUUAUUAUUACUAUGACUCGUUGCGAAGUGGAUUCCGAAAAUAACGGUCGUCGCCGCUAAAAUUUAAAUCAAUCACCGUGCGUUAUUUUAUAUUCUGUUGUAAAUAUUAUUGAUACGUUUCGCGUGUAAAGGUUUUUAUUUCGCGGUUUUUCUCCAAAAUCGAUAUACGGACGCGUCACGAAAGCCGCGUGCUCGGGAAUACGGCCACCAGGACUGUUUGCGGCUACAUUAUAAAGUAGGUAGGGAAAGAC